rnacentral:rRNA from 1 species
GAGUUUGAUCCUGGCUCAGGAUGAACGCUGGCGGCGUGCCUAACACAUGCAAGUCGAACGGAUCCAUAUUGAAACCUAGUGAUGUAUGGAUUAGUGGCGGACGGGUGAGUAACGCGUGGAUAACCUGCCGUAUACAGGGGAUAACACUUAGAAAUAGGUGCUAAUACCGCAUAAGCGCACGGUUCCGCAUGGAACAGUGUGAAAAACUUCGGUGGUAUACGAUGGAUCCGCGUCUGAUUAGCCAGUUGGCGGGGUAACGGCCCACCAAAGCGACGAUCAGUAGCCGGCCUGAGAGGGUGAACGGCCACAUUGGGACUGAGACACGGCCCAAACUCCUACGGGAGGCAGCAGUGGGGAAUAUUGCACAAUGGGGGAAACCCUGAUGCAGCGACGCCGCGUGAGUGAAGAAGUAUCUCGGUACGUAAAGCUCUAUCAGCAGGGAAGAAAAUGACGGUACCUGAUUAAGAAGCCCGGCUAACUACGUGCCAGCCGCCGCCGU